rnacentral:rRNA from 1 species
GACGAACGCUGGCGGCGUGCUUAACACAUGCAAGUCGAACGGACAGGUGAUGAUCUUGUGGCGCGCUCGAGUGGCGAAGGGGUGAGAGUAACGCGUGUAUAACCCACCUGUAUUUGGGAUAUCACUAGGAAACACGGGCUCAAAUCGGAUAGAAGCUACUGAACCACAUUGUGCGAUGGUAAGAUACGGCGGUUGGGGAACGAAUCGAGGGGUAUGAGCUUGAUGGUAGGGUAGUGGGUUAACAAGGCUACGAUGGGUAGCCGACCUGAGCGGCGGAUCGGCCACCCUGGAGCUGAGACACGGUCCAGACUCCUACGGGAGGCAGCAGUAGGGAACCUGACGCAGUGGGCGAAAGCCUGACGGAGCAACGCCGCGUGAGUGAUGAAGGUCUUCGGAUCGUAAAACUCUGUUAUUAGGGAAGAACAAAUGUGUAAGUAACUAUGCACGUCUUGACGGUACCUAAUCAGAAAGCCACGGCUAACUACGUG